UACGUAGGGUGCGAGCGUUAAUCGGAAUUACUGGGCGUAAAGCGUGCGCAGGCGGCUUUGCAAGACAGAUGUGAAAUCCCCGGGCUCAACCUGGGAACUGCAUUUGUGACUGCAAGGCUAGAGUACGGCAGAGGGGGAUGGAAUUCCGCGUGUAGCAGUGAAAUGCGUAGAUAUGCGGAGGAACACCAAUGGCGAAGGCAAUCCCCUGGGCCUGUACUGACGCUCAUGCACGAAAGCGUGGGGAGCAAACAGGAUUAGAAACCCCCUGUAGUCC
rnacentral:rRNA from 1 species